AACGAACGCUGGCGGCAGGCUUAACACAUGCAAGUCGAGCGAGACCUUCGGGUCUAGCGGCGGACGGGUGAGUAACGCGUGGGAACGUGCCCUUCUCUACGGAAUAGCCCCGGGAAACUGGGAGUAAUACCGUAUACGCCCUUUGGGGGAAAGAUUUAUCGGAGAAGGAUCGGCCCGCGUUGGAUUAGUUAGUUGGUGGGGUAAUGGCCCACCAAGCCGACGAUCCAUAGCUGUUUUGAGAGGAUGAUCAGCCACACUGGGACUGAGACACGGCCCAGACUCCUACGGGAGGCAGCAGUGGGGAAUCUUAGACAAUGGGGGCAACCCUGAUCUAGCCAUGCCGCGUGAGUGAUGAAGGCCUUAGGGUUGUAAAGCUCUUUCAGCUGGGAAGAUAAUGACGGUACCAGCAGAAGAAGCCCCGGCUAACUCCGUG
rnacentral:rRNA from 1 species